rnacentral:misc_RNA from 1 species
UGAAUAGCGUUUAGAGUUGCCAUCUAUUGCGAGGCUUCCAUGUGUGUGGCGAUUACUCAGAACCGGCCUGUUUCGCUUUCAAUUCGUUUUAAGGCAGCCAAAAAAAGAGCCAUCUAACCAUAUUAAUCCCCAACUUGACCGUUCACUUAAAUACAAUCCUAAGUAAGUGGAUAUAAUCACUGGCUUGCAUCCGCGCGUUUUCUGACAGGUGGGGAAGGUUGCAGCAGAGACAAAGGUGAAUCGCGCAAAGCAACAGAAAAAAUUGCUCUCGGACAAUUGUCAAAAAUUACGCAAAAUUCCCACACAUACACCCAUACCUGACAUCCCCCGCCCGACCCGACCGAUUGCCUGGCCUCUCUAGACGUCUGCACGAAAUAGAAAGUAAUAAAGAAACAAAAAAAGAACGCAAAAUGACUUCCGAUAUAACGCUGCAGUUGAUUGCUAUUUUGGAGAAGACAGUGUCGCCAGACAAAAAUGAACUCUUGUCGGCAAAGAACUUCUUGGAACAGGCAGCCGCCAGCAAUCUGCCGGAGUUCCUUAAGGCACUGUCGGAGAUUUUGGUCAAUACGACAAACAGCGCCGUGGCACGCAUGGCCGCUGGUCUUCAGCUCAAAAAUCACUUGACCAGCAAAGAUGAGAAUGUACGGCAACAGCAUCAGGAGCGUUGGCAUCAGUUCCCCACCGAGAUCCGGGAACUGAUCAAGAACAAUAUUCUUAAUGCCUUGGGUACUGAGAAUACGCGUCCCUCUUGUGCCGCGCAGUGCGUGGCCUAUGUGGCUGUCAUAGAGCUGCCCAUCAAUCGCUGGGGCAUGGUCAUCCAGACCCUGGUCAACAAGGUGGUCAGCGAAGGAUCGAGCGAAAUGCAUCGCGAGUCUGCCCUUGAGGCCAUUGGCUACAUUUGCCAGGACAUACGCUUUGGCGUGAUGGAGAAUCAAUCGAAUCAGGUGCUCACGGCCAUCAUUCAUGGCAUGCGCAAGGUCGAGCCAAGCAACCAUGUCCGUCUGGCCGCCACCACGGCUCUGCACAACUCGCUCGAGUUCACCAAGGCCAAUUUUGAGAAGGACAUGGAGCGCAACUUCAUCAUGGAGGUGGUCUGCGAGGCCACCCAGUCCACGGACACUCAGAUCUGUGUGGCUGCCCUUCAGUGUCUGGUGAAGAUUAUGACACUGUACUAUCAGUUCAUGGAGCCCUAUAUGGCUCAGGCCCUCUUCCCCAUAACGCUGGAGGCCAUGAAGUCGGAGAACGAUGCCGUUGCCCUUCAGGGCAUUGAGUUCUGGUCCAACGUCUGCGAUGAGGAGAUCGAUCUGGCCAUCGAGAGCCAGGAGGCCACCGAUCAGGGUCGUGCCCCAGCGCGUGUGUCCAAGCAUUAUGCACGCGGUGCUCUGCAGUUCCUUACGCCUGUACUGGUUGACAAGCUAACCAAACAGGAUGAGUGCGAUGAUGAGGAUACCUGGAGUCCGGCCAAGGCUUCGUCGGUGUGCCUCAUAGUGCUGGCCACUUGUUGCGAGGACGAAAUAGUGCCCCAUGUGUUGCCGUUCAUCCAGGAGAACAUUGAAUCGCAGAACUGGCGCUUCAGAGAUGCCGCCGUCAUGACCUUUGGCUCUGUGCUCAGUGGACUGGAGACCAAUACGCUGAAGCCUUUGGUGGAGCAGGCCAUGCCCACGCUGAUACGUUUGAUGUAUGAUUCUAGUGUCAUUGUGCGUGAUACCACAGCCUGGACUUUUGGACGCAUUUGCGAUAUCAUUCCAGAGGCUGCCAUCGACAAGACCUAUCUACAGCCGCUGCUCGAGUGCUUUGUAAAGAGCUUGAAGUCGGAGCCUCGUGUGGCCGCCAAUGUUUGCUGGGCAUUCAUUGGCCUCUCCGAUGCCGCCUACGAUGCGGCCUCCACCGGAGAGCGCGAGCGCGAGACACCCGAGACGUACGCGCUGUCGCCGUACUUUGAGUUUAUUAUCACACAGCUGCUGGAGACCACCGAUCGUUCGGAUGGGGCCCAAGCCAAUCUGCGUGGAGCUGCCUAUGAGGCUCUCAUGGAUAUGAUCAAGAAUUCGCCCCUCGAUUGCUAUCUGGUGGUGCAGCGCACUACCAUUGUGAUUCUGGAGCGUUUGAACCAAGUCAUGCAGAUGGAGUCGCACAUCAGCAAUCACAGCGAUCGCCAUCAGUUUAACGAUCUGCAGUCGCUGCUCUGCGCCACGCUGCAGAGUGUCCUGCGAAAGGUGCACGAAGAGGAUGCCCCACAGAUAUCCGAUGCCAUCAUGAAUGCCCUGUUCAUGAUGUUCCAGUCAAGUGCUGGCAAAUCGGGAGGUGUGCAGGAGGAUGCCUACCUAGCCGUGUCUACACUGGUGGAGCUUUUGGGCGUACAGUUUAUGAAGUACAUGCCGGCCUUCAAGGAUGUCCUAAUCAUGGGCCUCAAGAACCAUCAGGAGUAUCAGGUAUGCUGUGCCACUGUCGGCCUCACCGGCGAUAUUUGCCGCGCCCUCAAGGAGCAGAUGGUCCCUUAUUGCGAUGAGAUUAUGUCCGUAAUGAUGACCAAUCUGGCGGAGCCCACGCUGCAUCGCACUGUCAAGCCGCAGAUACUCACGGUCUUUGGCGAUAUGGCUCUCAGUAUUGGAAGCCAUUUCCUGAAGUAUCUGAACGUGGUGUUGGAAAUGCUGCGUGCCGCUUCCAAUCUUCAGACGGAUGCCAGCAACUUUGACAUGAACGAGUACAUUGCCCACCUGCGCGAGAGUGUUCUCGAGGCAUAUACAGGCAUCAUUCAGGGCCUCAAGGGUCUCGAUCAGACAGCCCAUCCCGAUGUGAUGCACAUGGAGCCGCAUCUGAUGCACAUUAUUGGCUUCAUCAAGCGCAUUGCCCAGGAUGGCGAAGUAUCCGACUCGAUGAUGGCCAGUGCUGCUGGUUUCAUUGGCGAUCUGUGCACUUCCUUCGGACCCCGUCUUCACACGCUAUUGGACGAUGUCGUAAUCACACAAUUCCUGUCCGAGGGCAAGCGCUCCAAGGGUCAGCGCACGAAAAUGUUGUGCUCGUGGGCCCUGAAGGAGAUCAAGAAGAUCAAUAGCCAAGUCAUCACACAGUGAACGUCUAACUAGAGGUUAAUGUUUCCAACAAUACCCACAAUACAAGAAUGAACUGCUAUGAAUGAUAGAUUAUGAAUUAUGAUCAAGAUAAAGUAUGAUGAAGAAUGGUGAUGUAUGUCUAUGUCUGCCUCUUGAAUGACUUUUGGAUGAUUCUGAAUCUAUUGAAGAUGAGCCUCAGCCUGAGCUGAGCGAAGGCCGCCGACGAGAGGAUCUUGCACUUUAUGGCUGUGGUAAACAAAAUGUAAGUGAUGCAUAGAAUUUUUAAAUUCAAUUUAUCAAAAUAAGUUAGUUACAAAAACAAACAACCGAUAAAAACCUGCGCACAAGCGUCCCACACAUAAAAAAUAUUUUGCUAAUAAUCAUAUAUUUCUUUUUUCUUUGCACAUAUUUUUCACAGGUGUGUUGAUUAAGUAUGACUUGAUGAGUACUUGAGAUGAUAAAUGAUGCUUGUGCGUGCGUUGUAUGAUGAAGAAUUGAUGAUGAGAAUUAUGUGAUGAUUGACAAAUGGUUGUUAUGCAAAAGUAGUGUUGGGAAAGAGAAAGAGUUUCGAGUGAAUGGAUGGUACAUCACACCCAGUACUAGAGAAGCACUCAUCUAGCACAAAUUUCUAACUUUUAUACAUUACAUAUUAAAUCUACAUGCCUGUGCAUAUGUAUAGAUCUAUUAUAAUGUAAGAACGUGUGUGCCCGCAACUGUGACUGAGUAUUUCUGUAUGUUAUCAUUCCAAAAACGAAAAAAACAACAAAAAAAACCCAAAAACCGAAACCUCUUCAGAAUUUCAAGAAGCUUGUAAAAUUUUGAUUUUCCCUCAUUAGGCUUAAAACAUAUAAGCUAAGAUAAAAGUUAAAUGAGGGUUAAGAUGCCAGGCUGCUCCAAUUUUUUUGUUUGGAGAAUGGACAUUUUAGCCGUUUUAUUAAAUGUGUGAAUAGGGUGUAGGUCGCGUCGUCUGUUCUACAAAAAAAUGCCAAUUGUGCUACAACUAUAACUGUAAACAUUGCCUGUGAUUUGAUAAACUGUGUAUGCUAAGAAUGUGUGUGUGCAUGUUCGUGUGCGUGUACGGGUAUGAUAUUGUGUGCAAGUAUUGAAGUAAAUAAAAAAAGCACCACGCGCAGCAGAGCAAAGUGAAAUGUAAAGAAAUUAUGAUAUUUUUAAUGUAAAAACAUAAACUAAUACUAAUAAACUGUACACAACGGUAAUUGUAAACGAAACGAAAACAAAAAAAAA